rnacentral:rRNA from 1 species
UACGUAGGGGCCAAGCGUUGUCCGGAUUUAUUGGGCGUAAAGAGCUCGUAGGCGGUUCGGCAAGUCAGCUGUGAAAUCUCCACGCUCAACGUGGAGGGGUCAGCUGAUACUGCUGUGACUUGAGUCCGGUAGGGGAGUGUGGAAUUCCCGGUGUAGCGGUGAAAUGCGCAGAUAUCGGGAGGAACACCGAUGGCGAAGGCAGGUCUCUGGGCCAUUACUGACACUGAGAAGCGAAAGCAUGGGGAGCGAACAGG